rnacentral:rRNA from 1 species
GGUAGGCGAGGAGAGAAUCCUAAGGUGUGCGAGAGAACUCUGGUUAAGGAACUCGGCAAAAUGACCCCGUAACUUCGGGAGAAGGGGUGCUUUCUUAACGGAAAGCCGCAGUGAAUAGGCCCAAGCGACUGUUUAGCAAAAACACAGCUCUCUGCGAAGCCGUAAGGCGAAGUAUAGGGGGUGACACCUGCCCGGUGCUGGAAGGUUAAGGAGAGGGGUUAGCGUAAGCGAAGCUCUGAACUGAAGCCCCAGUAAACGGCGGCCGUAACUAUAACGGUCCUAAGGUAGCGAAAUUCCUUGUCGGGUAAGUUCCGACCCGCACGAAAGGUGUAACGAUUUGGGCACUGUCUCAACCAGAGACUCGGUGAAAUUAUAGUACCUGUGAAGAUGCAGGUUACCCGCGACAGGACGGAAAGACCCCGUGGAGCUUUACUGUAGCCUGAUAUUGAAUUUUGGUACAGUUUGUACAGGAUAGGCGGGAGCCUUUGAAACCGGAGCGCUAGCUUCGGUGGAGGCGCUGGUGGGAUACCGCCCUGACUGUAUUGAAAUUCUAACCUACGGGUCUUAUCGACCCGGGAGACAGUGUCAGGUGGGCAGUUUGACUGGGGCGGUCGCCUCCUAAAGUGUAACGGAGGCGCCCAAAGGUUCCCUCAGAAUGGUUGGAAAUCAUUCGUAGAGUGCAAAGGCAUAAGGGAGCUUGACUGCGAGACCUACAAGUCGAGCAGGGACGAAAGUCGGGCUUAGUGAUCCGGUGGUUCCGCAUGGAAGGGCCAUCGCUCAACGGAUAAAAGCUACCCCGGGGAUAACAGGCUUAUCUCCCCCAAGAGUCCACAUCGACGGGGAGGUUUGGCACCUCGAUGUCGGCUCAUCGCAUCCUGGGGCUGUAGUCGGUCCCAAGGGUUGGGCUGUUCGCCCAUUAAAGCGGUACGCGAGCUGGGUUCAGAACGUCGUGAGACAGUUCGGUCCCUAUCCGUCGUGGGCGUAGGAAAUUUGAGAGGAGCUGUCCUUAGUACGAGAGGACCGGGAUGGACGCACCGCUGGUGUACCAGUUGUUCUGCCAAGGGCAUAGCUGGGUAGCUAUGUGCGGAAGGGAUAAGUGCUGAAAGCAUCUAAGCAUGAAGCCCCCCUCAAGAUGAGAUUUCCCAUAGCGUAAGCUAGUAAGAUCCCUGAAAGAUGAUCAGGUUGAUAGGUUCGAGGUGGAAGCAUGGUGACAUGUGGAGCUGACGAAUACUAAUAGAUCGAGGACUUAACC